rnacentral:rRNA from 1 species
AGGACGACGCUGGCGGCGUGCUUAACACACGCAAGUCGAACGGUGACCCAGGGCUUGCCCUGGUGAUCAGUGGCGAACGGGUGAGUAACACGUGGGCAACCUGCCCCUGACUUCGGGAUAACUCCUCGAAAGAGGAGCUAAUACCGGAUACGACCACUUCGGACAUCCGAUGGUGGUGGAAAGUUCUUCGGUCAGGGAGGGGCCCGCGGCCUAUCAGCUAGUUGGUGGGGUAAUGGCCUACCAAGGCGACGACGGGUAGCCGGCCUGAGAGGGCGACCGGCCACACUGGGACUGAGACACGGCCCAGACUCCUACGGGAGGCAGCAGUGGGAAUAUUGCGCAAUGGGCGAAAGCCUGACGCAGCGACGCCGCGUGAGGGAUGAAGGCCUUCGGGUUGUAAACCUCUUUCAGCAGGGACGAAGCGAAAGUGACGGUACCUGCGGAAGAAGCACCGGCUAACUACGUG